GACGAGUGGCGGACGGGUGAGUAAAGUAUGGGGAUCUGCCAAAUGAGGGGGACAACUGCUGGAAACGGCAGCUAAUACCGCAUAAUGUCGUAAGACCAAAGUGGGGGGACCUUUUGGCCUCACACCUUCAGAUGAACCCCAGAUGGGAUUAGCUAGUAGGUGAGGUAAUAGCUUACCUAGGCGACGAUCCCUAGCUGGUCUGAGAGGAUGACCAGCCACACUGGAACUGAGACACGGUCCAG
rnacentral:rRNA from 1 species